CAGAGUGUAAAAACUCCCAAAACCCAUGUGAACAUACCUUUUUGUUGCUUCGGCGGGAUCGCCCCGGGCGCCUUGUGUGCCCCGGAGUCAGGCGCCCGCCGGGGGACCCAAACUCUUGUUUUUAACGAGUAUCUUCUGAGUAACGUUUUUAAAUAAAUAA
rnacentral:misc_RNA from 1 species